UGGAGAAUCUUGCACAAUGGGCGAAAGCCUGAUGCAGCAACGCCGCGUGAAGGAUGAAGGCCCUUGGGUCGUAAACUUCUGUUCUAAGGGAAGAUAGUGACGGUACCUUAGGAGCAAGUCCCGGCUAACUACGUGCCAGCAGCCGCGGUAAUACGUAGGGGGCGAGCGUUAUCCGGAAUUAUUGGGCGUAAAGAGUACGUAGGUGGUUUCCUAAGCGAGGGGUUUAAGGCAAUGGCUUAACCAUUGUUCGCCCCCCGAACUGGGUUACUUGAGUGCUGGAGGGGAAAGCGGAAUUCCUAGUGUAGCGGUGAAAUGCGUAGAUAUUAGGAGGAACACCAGUGGCGAAGGCGGCUUUCUGGACAGUAACUGACACUGAGGUACGAAAGUGUGGGGAGCAAACAG
rnacentral:rRNA from 1 species